rnacentral:rRNA from 1 species
UACGGAGGGAGCUAGCGUUAUUCGGAAUUACUGGGCGUAAAGCGUACGUAGGCGGCUUUGCAAGUUAGAGGUGAAAGCCUGGAGCUCAACUCCAGAACUGCCUUUAAAACUGCAUCGCUUGAAUCCAGGAGAGGUGAGUGGAAUUCCGAGUGUAGAGGUGAAAUUCGUAGAUAUUAGGAAGAACACCAGUGGCGAAGGCGGCUCACUGGUCCGGUACUGACGCUGAGGUGCGAAAGCGUGGGGAGCAAACAGG